AUCCAGAUGACGAGUCCCAAAUAGGACGAAACGGUAUGCGUCAAACUGGAU
rnacentral:hammerhead_ribozyme from 1 species